rnacentral:rRNA from 1 species
UACGUAGGGGGCUAGCGUUGUCCGGAUUUAUUGGGCGUAAAGCGCGUGUAGGCGGCCAGAUAGGUCUGCUGUGAAAACUCGAGGCUCAACCUCGAGCUGUCGGCGGAAACCAUCCGGCUAGAGUCCGGAAGAGGAGAGUGGAAUUCCCGGUGUAGCGGUGAAAUGCGUAGAGAUCGGAAAGAACACCAACGGCGAAAGCACUCUGCUGGGCCGACACUGACACUGAGAGACGAAAGCUAGGGGAGCGAAUGGG